rnacentral:rRNA from 1 species
CGAACGCUGGCGGCGUGCUUAACACAUGCAAGUCGAACGGAAAGGCCCUGCUUUUGUGGGGUGCUCGAGUGGCGAACGGGUGAGUAACACGUGAGUAACCUGCCCUUGACUUUGGGAUAACUUCAGGAAACUGGGGCUAAUACCGGAUAGGAGCUCCUGCUGCAUGGUGGGGGUUGGAAAGUUUCGGCGGUUGGGGAUGGACUCGCGGCUUAUCAGCUUGUUGGUGGGGUAGUGGCUUACCAAGGCUUUGACGGGUAGCCGGCCUGAGAGGGUGACCGGCCACAUUGGGACUGAGAUACGGCCCAGACUCCUACGGGAGGCAGCAGUGGGGAAUAUUGCACAAGGGGCGGAAGCCUGAUGCAGCAACGCCGCGUGCGGGAUGACGGCCUUCGGGUUGUAAACCGCUUUCGCCUGUGACGAAGCGUGAGUGACGGUAAUGGGGAAAGAAGCACCGGCUAACUACGU